GCGUUGAAACACCAGAUCUCAUACGAUCACCCAAAUUAAGCAAAGUCGAGCUUGAUCAGCACCUAGAUGGGUGACCCCUUGGGAAUACCAGGCGCUGCAAG